CCUACGGGAGGCAGCAGUGGGGAAUAUUGCACAAUGGGGGAAACCCUGAUGCAGCAACGCCGCGUGAGUGCAGAAGUAUUUCGGUAUGUAAAGCUCUAUCAGCAGGGAACAAGAUGACGGUCCCUUAUUAAGAAGCCCAGCCUAACUACGUGCGAGCAGCCGCGGUACUACGUAGGGGGCGAGCGUUAUCCGGAUUUACUGGGUGUAAAGGGAGCGCAGAGGGCAGUGCAAGUCUGGGGUGAAAGGCCGGGGCACAACCCCGGAACUGCUCUGGAAACUGUGCGGCUAGAGUACUGAAGGGGCAGGCGGAAUGCGUAGUGUAGCGGUGAAAUGCGUAGAUAUUAGGAGGAACACCAGUGGCGAAGGCGGCCUGCUGGACAGUAACUGACGUUGAGGCUCGAAAGCGUGGGGAGCAAACAGGAUUAGAUACCCUUGUAGUC
rnacentral:rRNA from 1 species